rnacentral:rRNA from 1 species
UACGGGAGGCAGCAGUGGGGAAUAUUGCACAAUGGGCGCAAGCCUGAUGCAGCCAUGCCGCGUGUAUGAAGAAGGCCUUCGGGUUGUAAAGUACUUUCAGUCGUGAGGAAGGCGUUAAGGUUAAUAACCUUAGCAAUUGACGUUAGCGACAGAAGAAGCACCGGCUAACUCCGUGCCAGCAGCCGCGGUAAUACGGAGGGUGCGAGCGUUAAUCGGAAUUACUGGGCGUAAAGGGCACGCAGGCGGUUAAUUAAGUUGGAUGUGAAAUCCCCGGGCUUAACCUGGGAAUGGCAUUCAAGACUGGUUAGCUAGAGUCUUGUAGAGGGGGUAGAAUUCCAUGUGUAGCGGUGAAAUGCGUAGAGAUGUGGAGGAAUACCGGUGGCGAAGGCGGCCCCUGGCAAAGACUGACGCUCAUGUGCGAAAGCGUGGGGAGCGAAACAGGGAUUAGAUACC